rnacentral:tRNA from 5 species
GCGGGUAUGGUUCAGUGGCAGAACAAUUGGUUGCCAAUCAAUUGACGGGAGUUCGAUUCUCCCUACCCGCA